rnacentral:rRNA from 1 species
GAUCAUGGCUCAGGGUGAACGCUGGCGGCGUGCUUAACACAUGCAAGUCGAACGAAGCAAUUGCGACAGAAGCCUUCGGGUGGAAGAUGUAAUUGACUGAGUGGCGGACGGGUGAGUAACGCGUGGGUAACCUGCCUUGUACAGGGGGAUAACAGUUAGAAAUGACUGCUAAUACCGCAUAAGCGCACAGUAUCGCAUGGUACAGUGUGAAAAACUCCGGUGGUACAAGAUGGACCCGCG